ensembl:lncRNA
AGGGACCACAGCGAGGAGCCUCAAAAAUGGGAACUGCCAGCAAAGGCCACGGCCCUGAGCUGCACUCCCCCCGAAGAGGAGGUUGGUAGCUGCAUUCAGAACCCACUUCAGCAUCUCCCUGCAUCUGCUCGGCCCGCUGCAAGCACUGCUUUGCCUUAGGGCUGAAGAGCAAGCGAGUGGGAAGGUUCAGAGCAGAACCAAAGCACCCCAGCAUCCAAAAUGCAAUGCACAAAGCAACACAGGUUGCUGCCAGGCCCAUAAGGCACCCAGCACCUGAGAAAGCAUCUCUAGGAGGUGAGUGGGGUGCGAGACAAAGUCGGGGAUGUCCCCUGGAGAAUGGGUGGGAGAUGGAGGUGAAGCUGAGCUGGGGCGUUUGGGUGCUCUGCAGCCAGUUCAAAGGCUCUGCUGUAGGGCUGUGCGUCACUUGCAGAGAGAGAGAAUAUUGUUUUUGGAGAAGGGAGGAGGAGGGGGAAGCCAGGAGUGGGGAAGGAGGAGGAAAAAUUUGGUGAAGGAGGAGGGGCGGUUCGCAUGGCUCCUGAGCACCUGCAUAGUGCGUGGCAGGAAGGAGGCAGGGGGACCCUGCCCUGCAGACAGGCUGCUUUUGUUGCAUCCCAAACGGGCCUCAAUUAAGUCUGACAGAAAGAGGGCAGAGUCCCACACGCUACGGCCAAAACCCCCGAGCUCAGCCAGACCUGGAGAGCUUCGGCACAGCGGGGAGAGGUGUGAAGCUCCGCGAAUCGCCCUCUGCAACGCCCCGUGCCUUGGCCAGGCAGCCUACAGCUCCCAGCUGGAGCAUCUCCAGAGCCUGGAGGCCACCACGGCUCCAUGACAGCCCUCCCUGCGGCUCCCUUGCCCAUCAUUGCCCAGCACAGCCCUGUGCCCAGCUAUGGGGCUCAGCUGCGGCCCCGCGCCCAUCCCGGCACGUCGUGCCAGCUUCUAAACAGUUAACACCAACAGAACCAGACUGCAGCGUUUCCCUCGUCCCCAGAUCCCUCCAAAAAAGAAAAGAAACGAUCCUCUUAUCCUCUCCUCCACCCACCUGGGCCACCUCCUGGCACCACCCCAUGCCCACCACCAGCGCGGGGCUCGGGGGGCUGCGGGUUCCCACCACGCUCGCCGCGGCUGCCAUGUUGAAUUGCAAAUCCGACAUGAGUCGACAUCUUUUUUUUCCCCCCCCCGCCCUCCGUAGUGGAAGCGAAAAGGACCCGCGUGGGGGACGGCGGUGAGCGGAGCGGGAGGAAAAAGCACCUCGAGUGGUGCUCCGAGCUCAACGCCAAGAAAUGGGCGGUGCCUGGAUGCCAGGCUCCAUCCGAAUGAGACGCCGAAGGCCGGGGCAGGCUGGCACAAAGGCGAGCUGGCAGGAAUUCCUGCACUCGGCGCUCUGAAAAUCCACCCUGAAGAGUUCUGCCCCAUUUGGCCCCGAAGGGCGCGAGCACAGAGCGGGGGGGGAUAGUAAUAAUAAUGGUAAAAAUGGGGCAGAAAUAAAGCUGGGACCUUCCUGUGCGUCGACGCAGGUUAAACAAAAGGCCUGGGGACGUGGAUAGGGCUCUGCGCCCCCCCCGCCGUGCGCUCCUUCCCGCCCGCACGCCCCCUCGUCCCGCCUCGUGCUCGGUGCAAAAAGGGCAAAAAAAGGGCAAAAAGCCGAAAGCGACGCGCCAGCCACGAGGGCAGCAUGGCAGCAACCGCCUCCGCGGGGGCAGGACGGGGGCCGUUUGUGUUUUAGGGCGUAUUUGGGGGCCUUUUUGUUGCUGCUGCGAGCACAUGGGUUGCGCCGAUGAUAAAAAGGGAGUCCCG